rnacentral:lncRNA from 1 species
UUUCCUUAUCGUUCACCACCAAACACACCUCUCCCUCUUCUUCUUUUUCUUCAUUCCUCCACCUUCCAUCUAUCAUAACUCAAAAUCUAACCGUUUGUUUAUCAAAUUGAAGCUACCUAAACGUUCAGGACUCCAAGAGCUACGUUUCUACCGAUUGAUUUUCCGUUUCAUCCAACGGGUAAGAAAACCCCUUUCUCCAUUUUUCCCUAGGAUUGUAAACAUGCAAUUUCUUGCUACAAGUAACCCAUUUCGUUUUCUUCCAUAAUCUAGCUUCUAGUUGGUUCUAAAAUUCGUUCUCCAUCAUCAAUUGAUGAUUUUAGGUGAUUCUCACACUUUGGGUUCAAAGUACGUGGUUUAGGAUUCUUCCUUGAGUUGGCCGGACGCACUAGAGGUAAGGGGAGCUAGUUCUAUUUCUUAUUUUUAUUGUGUAAUGUGAAUGAAUGACAAAUUUUGAAGUGGUAUGUUGUUAAAGGCAUGAAAUUGGUUUUAUUGACUUGAAAUGCAUGUAUGGAAGUGGGUGUGUUAUGUGAAUUUGGUGAUUGAUGGCUAUGAACUGUCUAGAAUGAUUUUGAAAGAUGAAUUAUUUAUGUUGGAACUAUUUUGGUGUGAAAAAUCUGUUGUGGUGUUGUUAGGAAGAAAAAUCAAGUGUCUUAGGGUCAAUUUAGGUCAUUUAGAGGAAGUAAGGUAGUGAUUUUGAGCAAUUGAGGUCUGCAACAUAUUUGGACUAUUGGGACAGUUUUAUCCACUGCAUUGUGACUUGUUUGAGUUACUAAAUUGGUAAAAAUAGGUGCAAAGAGGUAAGAUUGAGUUUUUGGUCUCUAUGUUGGUGAAAUUGGAGUUAUUUGAAGAGAAGGGAAGUAGUGAAUUUGAGAGGUAGAGGUCUAGGACUCUUUUGAACUGUUGAGGCAGCUUAGGCAAGUUAAUUAUAACUUGUUAGAACUAUAAAAUUGGUUAAAAUGAGGUUCUAAAUGGUAGAAGUGGAGUUGAGUCCUUAGGUUGAGGAAAAACUAGUGUUUUGGGUGAGUUUAGAGGAAGUGAGGUAGUGGUUUUGAGCUCUAGGGGUUAUAACUUGAAUUAGGCAGUUAAGACAACUUAUGUAAGUUCAAAGUGACUUGUGAGAAGUGUCAAAAUAGCCAAGAAGAGUCCUCAGGUGUUAAAUCUAGGUUUGAGCCCAUAAGUUGAGAAAAUUGAGGUUUUUGAGUGUAAAUCUAUGCAUAGUUGUUAGGAAUUGAGGUUAGGAAUGUUUAUACACCUUUAGAAAAGUUUAAAUACACCUAAAUUUCGAGUUAUAAUGAUUAGAAAUUCAUAAAAAGGUCUAAAACGGAACUUAGGGGUGUGAGUUGUGCAAAAUCUGCAUAAAACCUGCAGAAUCCACGCUGGGCGCCACCUAACUGGCGUUGGGCGCCAUUUGGUUUUGUUUCCUGGCGCUGGGCGCCACCUGAAUGGCGCUGGGCGCCAUUCAGCACACUGUUUCUGCUGUCGUUUUUGUUUUUGACGUUUCGGGAGUUCCGGACGUCCGUUUUGGGCGUUCUGGGGGUUUUUAACCCUUCCGGAACCAUUGGUGAGGGUCCCAAGGCUGUUUGAAUUACUUAAGUAUUGAUAAUUAAAUAUCAUAAAGAAAUUUGUGGUAAUAAGUGAUGGUUUUGUGAAAGUAUGUAAUGUAUGAGUCGUUUUAUGACAUGGUCGAUGUUGUGUGAUGGUGUGGGUUUGGUAUGAGCCAAUAUAGUAAGAAUCUACUUGAAUGACUAUGAAAUUUUAUGUUUGAUGAAGCAAAGUGGUUUAUGAGGUACAUUAUUGAUUCAAGAGGAAUAUCAGGUGAUUUAAAGUGGUCGGAUUGAAUAUGAAAUUAAGAUCUCUCGGUGAGAUCAGUUAGUGUAUUGAAUAUAUGUAAGAGGCUUCCACUAUGGGGGGUUAUCCCUAACACUCUAACGGUCUUUCAUUCUCACUUAGAAAGGAUUGACGCGUGUGGUGAGAGUAGUGGGAGGUCCUAGGGUAGGCGCUAUCACUGGAGGUCUAUUUCGCGGUAACGGACCAGCCUUGUGUGUGGUCGGGUGAAACCCCUCGGCAAUGGCUUUGCAAAGCAGUAGAGGCCACCACAAGUGCACAACCCGUCCCAGCUCUAUAUACAUUCUAUGUUCGGACGUGUCUAGGAGUCUUAACAUGACAUGAUGUUUGCUUUAGUGAGUUUUGUGGAAUGAAUGUUUAUGUUUAUAAUGACUUACAUGUUUAAGUGUGUAUGUACGUUCUUGCAAUGAAUUGUAUGAUUGUUUGAGACCCAGCUCACCCUUGCACUUGUAUGUUUGUAUGUGUUUGACUUCCCCCUUGCGAUGAUCAUCCAAUCCUUUGGAUGUGAGUAGUAGGUGAUGAAGUACCCUUGGAGCAUGCGUGGGAGACUGAGGAAGAUCCAGCCCCUAAUACUUAGGGCGUUUAUUAGUUCUUAUUUCAAUAGCUUGUUAAUUUUUGGAAACACUCUCUAGGCAUCCUUCGAUCUUUAGUUUAUUAUGUAUUUUGGAGAACUUUGGAGAACUUGUACUCAAGUUUUAUUUCAUUUUAAUUUCCACUAAAUUUCGAAUGACUGUAUAAAUAUUUAAAUAUUGUCAUCUUUAUCUCUUAAUUGCUUUCACAUAUUGUAAUAGCUGAAUCCUAUUAUAUUAUAUGUGAAUAUGAUAUUUGGG